UUGGAUUUGUAAAAAACUUUGUAAAGUUAUUUAAUGCAAGAUACCUGUGUUUUAUUUGUUGAAGCCAUGUCUUAUACCAAGGUUGCAGACCAGACAAGAGAGAUGAAAGAAGCCGCAUUUUUAAAGAAGGUCCAACAAAAAGAGCAGAAAGCCAAACAUAUCUGCUGGCAAGUUGAUCUGGGUGAUGAACCAUGUUCAACAGACCAGAAACUUAAAAUUUUGAAGGAGCAAGAUGAGGCUCUUGCUGCAUACAAAGUAAGCCAAUGUAUUGGUUUAAUUCAGAUUGAACAUUUUGUGCCACUUUCCACUGAAUGCUCAUGCUUUUUAUGUGAAUUUCAGCUAAAAUACAGUGGUGAGUCGGUGGCCUCUUCAAAAUCUUCAACUAAACUUUCCUCACGGCGAGUUUUGCGACAUGUUGGACAGCUCCCAGAAUGCACUGCUGUUUUCAGCAGCUAUGGCACUGGCUGGCUGGAGGUCAGACAGAGAGCGCUCAGAAUCUUCCAGCAGGCUGCUCGAAAGGUUGUUCUUCAAUGUCGUAUGAACAAGAGACUGGUGUCACUAAGGGAGCUUGUUCGCAACACCAGGAGUCUGCAGGGAGACAAAGAAUCAGGCUAGUCUGGAUUUUUCUUAUAAGAAACUAAUA
rnacentral:lncRNA from 1 species